GGGUUGUGAGGUUAAGCGACUAAGCGUACACGGUGGAUGCCCUGGCAGUCAGAGGCGAUGAAGGGCGUGCUAAUCUGCGAUAAGCGCCGGUAAGGUGAUAUGAACCGUUAUAACCGGCGAUACCCGAAUGGGGAAACCCAGUGUGACUCGUCACACUAUCAUUAACUGAAUCCAUAGGUUAAUGAGGCGAACCGGGGGAACUGAAACAUCUAAGUACCCCGAGGAAAAGAAAUCAACCGAGAUUCCCCCAGUAGCGGCGAGCGAACGGGGAGGAGCCCAGAGCCUGAAUCAGCAUGUGUGUUAGUGGAAGCGUCUGGAAAGGCGCGCGAUACAGGGUGACAGCCCCGUACACAAAAGCGCAUGUGCUGUGAGCUCGAUGAGUAGGGCGGGACACGUGGUAUCCUGUCUGAAUAUGGGGGGACCAUCCUCCAAGGCUAAAUACUCCUGACUGACCGAUAGUGAACCAGUACCGUGAGGGAAAGGCGAAAAGAACCCCGGCGAGGGGAGUGAAAAAGAACCUGAAACCGUGUACGUACAAGCAGUGGGAGCCCCACCACCAAAGCAUUUGCUGUACCGCGUUGACGGAGCGAAGCGACGUCAAACCGAUAAAACAGCAGUGUAAAGUGAGCCGCAGGGCGCUUUGCGCGACAGCGCAAAGGCAGGCGGUUUCGCGUAGCGAAAGCGAAUGCUUUGGGGUGGGGUGACUGCGUACCUUUUGUAUAAUGGGUCAGCGACUUAUAUUCUGUAGCAAGGUUAACCGAAUAGGGGAGCCGGAGGGAAACCGAGUCUUAAUUGGGCGUUAAGUUGCAGGGUAUAGACCCGAAACCCGGUGAUCUAGCCAUGGGCAGGUUGAAGGUUGGGUAACACUAACUGGAGGACCGAACCGACUAAUGUUGAAAAAUUAGCGGAUGACCUGUGGCUGGGGGUGAAAGGCCAAUCAAACCGGGAGAUAGCUGGUUCUCCCCGAAAGCUAUUUAGGUAGCGCCUCGUGAAUUCAUCUCCGGGGGUAGAGCACUGUUUCGGCUAGGGGGCCAUCCCGGCUUACCAACCCGAUGCAAACUGCGAAUACCGGAGAAUGUUAUCACGGGAGACACACGGCGGGUGCUAACGUCCGUCGUGAAGAGGGAAACAACCCAGACCGCCAGCUAAGGUCCCAAAGUCAUGGUUAAGUGGGAAACGAUGUGGGAAGGCCCAGACAGCCAGGAUGUUGGCUUAGAAGCAGCCAUCAUUUAAAGAAAGCGUAAUAGCUCACUGGUCGAGUCGGCCUGCGCGGAAGAUGUAACGGGGCUAAACCAUGCACCGAAGCUGCGGCAGCGACACUGUGUGUUGUUGGGUAGGGGAGCGUUCUGUAAGCCUGUGAAGGUGUGUCGUGAGGCAUGCUGGAGGUAUCAGAAGUGCGAAUGCUGACAUAAGUAACGAUAAAGCGGGUGAAAAGCCCGCUCGCCGGAAGACCAAGGGUUCCUGUCCAACGUUAAUCGGGGCAGGGUGAGUCGACCCCUAAGGCGAGGCCGAAAGGCGUAGUCGAUGGGAAACGGGUUAAUAUUCCCGUACUUGGUGUUACUGCGAAGGGGGGACGGAGAAGGCUAUGUUGGCCGGGCGACGGUUGUCCCGGUUUAAGCGUGUAGGUGUGUGUUCCAGGUAAAUCCGGUUCACUUUAACACUGAGGCGUGACGACGAGGCACUACGGUGCUGAAGCAACAAAUGCCCUGCUUCCAGGAAAAGCCUCUAAGCAUCAGGUAACAUCAAAUCGUACCCCAAACCGACACAGGUGGUCAGGUAGAGAAUACCAAGGCGCUUGAGAGAACUCGGGUGAAGGAACUAGGCAAAAUGGUGCCGUAACUUCGGGAGAAGGCACGCUGACACGUAGGUGAAGUGAUUUACUCAUGGAGCUGAAGUCAGUCGAAGAUACCAGCUGGCUGCAACUGUUUAUUAAAAACACAGCACUGUGCAAACACGAAAGUGGACGUAUACGGUGUGACGCCUGCCCGGUGCCGGAAGGUUAAUUGAUGGGGUCAGCGCAAGCGAAGCUCCUGAU
rnacentral:rRNA from 1 species